GUGCUAACCAUGUAAUAGUUGGUCAAUUUGAAACGAUACAGAGAAGAUUAGCAUGGCCCCUGCACUAAGGAUGACACGCUUCUCAAAGAGUGCUACAAGUUUUUU
rnacentral:snRNA from 1 species